GACGAACGCUGGCGGCGUGCCUAAUACAUGCAAGUCGAACGCAUUUUCUUUCACCGUAGCUUGCUACACCGAAAGAAAAUGAGUGGCGAACGGGUGAGUACCACGUGGGCACCUUGCCCAUCACCGGGGAAUACCACUUGGAAACGGGUGUUAUACCCGAUUAAUUCAUUUUACCGAAGGUAGGGGGGUGGAAAGGCGCUUUGGGUCCACUGUUGGUUGGACCGGCGGUGCAUUAGCUAGUUGGUGGGGUAACGGCCUACCAAGGCUGCGAUGCAUAGCCGACCUGAGAGGGUGAUCGGCCACACUGGGACUGAGACACGGCCCAGACUCCUACGGGAGGCAGCAGUAGGGAAUCUUCGGCAAUGGACGCAAGUCUGACCGAGCAACGCCGCGUGAGUGAAGAAGGUUUUCGGAUCGUAAAACUCUGUUGUUAGAGAAGAACAAGGAUGAGAGUGGAAAGUUCAUCCCUUGACGGUAUCUAACCAGAAAGCCACGGCUAACUACGUG
rnacentral:rRNA from 1 species